rnacentral:piRNA from 1 species
UAACACUGACCAUGGAGGUCUGCAGCUUC